rnacentral:rRNA from 1 species
UACGUAGGGUGCGAGCGUUAUUCGGAAUUACUGGGCGUAAAGUGUGCGCAGGUGGCUUCGCAAGUCGAGUGUGAAAUCCCCGGGCUUAACCUGGGAAUUGCGCUUGAAACUACGGAGCUGGAGUGUGGCAGAGGAAGGUGGAAUUCCACGUGUAGCGGUGAAAUGCGUAGAGAUGUGGAGGAACACCGAUGGCGAAGGCAGCCCCCUGGGCUAACACUGACGCUCAGGCACGAAAGCGUGGGGAGCAAACAGG